CUCCACAGCCGCCGGCGCGUGCUGCUGUGAGGGGCUGCGGGGAGCCGCAUGGGUUAAAGCCGGCAUGUACCGUCCAGCUCCCCCGCGCAGCUACGGUCCCACCGGCUCCCGGGCCGCUCAGCCUGCGGCCACGGGGAUAUCUCGGUGCUGUGCUGUGCUGUGCGGUGCGCACUGUUCACAGUAUCUUCUAAAGCCAGAAGAGGAGAGGAAUCCACUCAGGAGCCAAACCAGAACUCUGAAAUGGAAACCAUCUACAUUUACAUUGUUACAGAAUUCAAAAACCUCUUGCUAACCAGAAUCCUGGCUUACUGUGUAAGAACGAGAGCAGAGAGGAACCUGUUGCAAACCACUGUCA